ensembl:lncRNA
GAGUGGCGCUGAGCAGCGGGUACUGAAUCCGCCGUCUGCAAGCGAGGCCGGCAGUCUCCAGAACAGGUGAGGCUUCCCUGCGGGGAUGCCCCGAGCUCUGCUCUUGGGCAGGACAACCAACACCCUUGUCUUCAUGCUCUCCUACUUUAAGCUUGAAAUACUGCAUGUGGUAUGAUUAAAAAGAUCUUGGUGUAGCACAUUCAGGGCCUGCCCAGGGGAGUCAUGAGGCCGGGGCAGCUCAGGGGGAGCCUGGUGUCCCUGCCGGGCAUGUGGCCUGAGCUUCCUCAGUCUGUGCUGAGUGAAUGGGUCCCUUGGCUCCUCUCCGUCACUGAUUCUGCCCCUGCUUGUUCUCAGUAGAGCAGGUCAGGGAGAAGGAGGUGUGUAUAAAUCUCCCACUGCCUGUUUUUGGUUCUCGGCAUGGCUGGGAUGCAGCUGAGCAAAACAAUUUACAUGCUCAGAUCUAGGAGGCCUUUUGCACCUCAAAGUCCCUUGCCUCUUCUGAGUUUUUGCUGGCAUUUCCUUCGAGUUCGGCCUGCAGGCCCCAGCCUGAGCUCCCACUUCCCUUCCCUGGUUAGAACUGUCCACGCACAUCUGACCCAAGGAGAAGGGGGCCCUCGUGUUAACUGGUGACUUUAGUUUUCAUUGCAAGAACCAGGAGCUGUGGGACACCUGAGUUUCAUGGAGAUUCUGGACACAUCGCUCAAGGUCAGCUUGUAAGAGCCCCUGGAGAAAAAUGGCAUCAUUACAGGCUUAAUCUGAUCACUCCAAAAUGCUCAGAACUGGUUGCUCUUUCAAGGACAACUUGAUUAGUUCCUUCAGACGUUCCUGAAAACACGUCUGCUGAGGCCGUCAGCUCCACCCAGAUUUUACUGACGUGGGCUUUGGUGCCUGAACAGGACCAGAACGGGCUCAUACUGGGCUACAAGCUUAGUAACCAGAGGCAGAAUUCGGUGGCCCCGGAAUGACUGUAAUACACAUCCUCCCGUCUCUGUAUGCAUUGCUCCGAGCCCAUUGCCUCUCAUCUGGGAGUCAGCCCCGGGCCUGCCAGUGAGGCUCGUGUUGCCAGAAGUGACACUCAGUCCGUGUGGAUGGUGUGGCAGCCGCCAGAGGAGCCCAACGGCAUCGCUCUGGAUCCUGUCGGAUGAGCCGGGAUCCCAAACACCUGUUAGGCCCCACACCUUGUGCUCCAGACCUGGGGCGGGAGAUGGUCUGCAGAGUGCAUGGAUGGGCCAGAAGUCUCCUGGAGCCCCUCAGCACCACGCCCCGGCUUCUGCCUCUUCUGGACAGAGCAGAGCUAAACAUCUGAUGACCCAGUGGGUGUCCCCAGCUUGCUGUGAGACAGGAAACCUUUCUGGAGCACAGAAUGUGAAUUCUGGCCUGUCACAGUACCUGGAGUCUCCAAGAAGCAGAAUCUCCCCAUCCUGCUGAGGAGGGAGGCCCCAUCCCCACCCCGCCCUGGGCCUGGCAGCUCCGGCUCCCACCGCUCCUGCUGCUCCCACCACAGCCUCUGCCCUCUGCCCUCUGCUCCAGUACUGCGGUGCUAAUUCUGUGCCCACCUCUGCACUCCCUGUAGCCAUCCUGGGCCGAUAGGAGUCAUUCUGACAGGAGGACCCCUGGGAGAGGGAUGGGAGGCCAGUGAGCAUUUCACAUGUGUGUGUCUCUUACUGUAGACAGACAUGCAUUCUGAUUUCGUAGCCAUGGCUUUGAACUACUCAUCCUGGGUCUUCCUCGCAAACAUGGGGAGGUUGUGGCCUGAGCCAGGGCCAGCCCACUGUGCUUGCUGGUCCUUUGCCCCUUCUGUGCCUCUAAAGUCUACAUUCGAUGUGACUCCAUGGCCGUCCCUGCCUGGUUGUGCCCACUGUCAUCACAGGUCUCACUGUCCAAAGAUAAAAUCUCAUCACGUACUUUGAAGGGCAUCUGUAACGUUUGUGCAUCUGUUUGAGAAAGCACUGUGAAAGGAGAAUUCAGACCAUGAUGGGGUAGCAUUUACAUUAUUCAGAUUGGGAGUCCUAGAAAGUCUUGAUACGACCCAGGUGAGAUGGGUAAGUGGGCAAACACAUGCUCAUAUGCUCCCGGAGAAUGAUAUGGUCAUGUCUGGGCGAGGUGACCACAUCUGUCCUCUCCAUCCCGGAGGCCCUUCCCAUCGGGUCUUAAACCCUGGUGUUCUCACACCUGUACCCAAGGAGACACACACGGGACACUCUUGCAGUGUCAUGUUCAAUAACAGGGAAAAACAAAGAGCCAGAUACCCAAGUGUCCAUCAAUCAGGCAACAGAAAUGUGUAUCCUGGGCUCUUCACGCAACAGAAAACAUGAUAGCAGUUACAGGAAUGACCAAGAUCUACACGAGCCAACGUGAGGAAGUCUCACAAGCAUGUGUUCAGGGGGAAAACAAGUUGCAGGAGAAUCCACAGAGCGUGAGAAUGUUC